AGCCAGGCAAGUAAACACCUUCUUUCUGAAAUAGGGUCCCCCUCCACAAGCCAGGGAGCAAGUGGGGUUUGGCCACAAUUGCGGUCACUUUUGCAACUGAAGAAGAAACAGUGUGCAAUUUGAAAAUUGGAUAUGGUCCGCAAACGAAAUCUGACAUACAAACAGCUAAAAAUGCGGGUUAUGUGCGAUACCCAGCCCCACAUCUGUACCCAAUUUGCACAAAGGAUUCUUGUCAUUUUCUGGGGCUGAAACAAAACCCUGGUUCAGCAAGCCCCACAACUUUGGAGGGCUGAAAUUUGAAGCAAAGUCUUUCAGACUGGUUUUGCCUCCGACAGAAACAUUUCUUGCCGUAAUUCCAGAGUUCCUAUCUUCCAAAUGCUAUGCUUCCAAAUGUUCUCAGCCCCAGCCACACAUGGUUGAAAAUGAGCCUGAGGCAACGUCAAGAAGACGCUGCAACAUUUCUUUAAGAAACUCUGAAGCUACCCAACUGGGAGGGAAGAGAAAGGAAGUGUUCAGGGUGUUUAUAGAGAAAAGGUGCCAGAUCCUGCUACCAGUUUCCUGUUUCUAUAAAAAUUGUGGGAACUCAGAUUGCUCAGCCCUCGGUUAACUUGGCUUAAAACUAGCCAAUGGACUGAAAA